rnacentral:rRNA from 1 species
CCUACGGGGGGCAGCAGUGGGGAAUAUUGCACAAUGGGGGAAACCCUGAUGCAGCGACGCCGCGUGAGUGAAGAAGUAAUUCGUUAUGUAAAGCUCUAUCAGCAGGGAAGAAAAUGACGGUACCUGAGUAAGAAGCCCCGGCUAACUACGUGCCAGCAGCCGCGGUAAUACGUAGGGGGCAAGCGUUAUCCAGAUUUACUGGGUGGAAAGGGAGCGUAGACGGCAGUGCAAGUCUGGAGGGAAAGGCGGGGGCUCAACCCCCGGACUGCUCUGGAAACUGUACGGCUGGAGUGCAGGAGAGGUAAGUGGAAUUCCUAGUGUAGCGGUGAAAUGCGUAGAUAUUAGGAGGAACACCAGUGGCGAAGGCGGCUUACUGGACUGUAACUGACGUUGAGGCUCGAAAGCGUGGGGAGCAAACAGGAUUAGAUACCCGAGUAGUC